GGUCCUCUUCCGGAUCGGACAAAUGGUCCUUCCCGUUGGGUAUCGUGUCUGUUGGCGGGGUGCAACGCAGUCAGAAAAAAAAAAAAAGGGAGCUCUGAGCCAAGACUUGAACCCAGAACCACUUCGCCUGUGAGGCAGACGUGCUACCCACUGCUUCACUGUGCUCCUCAUGAAAAGGGAAGCUCACACAAAAGAAUGCCGCAUCUCCCUUUGAGCCUCCGGGGCGGAGCUCAUGAAGACGGAAAGACGUGCACGGGUUGUCAACACUCACCGUGAUGUAGGCGCCGGUGCAACGAGCCCAGCUAAAAAGGUCAACCAGCCUGUAGAGGCCGGCAAGCUUGCAGCGGCUCGGCUUCUCGCAUUUGGCGAAGGAUGGCGUCUCGGCGGCGUACAAGUCGUUGAUGGGGGACACCGUUCCCAAGCCUGCGAUGGGACAACACAUCAUCCUGCCGACAAGAAGAAGAUUCAUCCGGCUCGUACAAGAACACUCACUGAUGGGUGACGUCAAAGGCCCGGCCCCUCCCACCGUGCCGGCCAUGAGCA